AAGUGCAAAAAAUAGAAGUGAGAAACGUAUAAACGGAAUUCUACUGUAAUUGAUAUUUUUUUCGUUAAAUUUUUACCGUAUAUGUGUACGUUUCUGUCGAUGCAUGAUAACUAUCAUAUCGCAGAGUCGACCAAGAGCACGUGCAUUCUUCAUUCCGUUCAAUUAUGAAUUACUAGACAUUCAAAAGAAAAGGAAUGGAACAUGUUUCUUUCCUCCUGUUUUUCGUUCCGAUGAACUAUGAACUGACUUUUGCACUUAAUAACUAUUGGUGGAACAAUUUCCCCAACACCAAUAAUAUAUCGAUCCAAUAUUAUUCACAACAUUCCGAUGGUGGAAUCAGCCAUAAAUCUCGAGACUUAAAUUCUUUCAAUAUGAUACUUCCUUGUACGACAAGAAAAGUUGAAUUUGCUGAGGUUGAAAUAUUUGAACAUAUGGUAUCCGUAUUAUUUUUAAAUAUGGAUACCAUAUUUAAAAAUAGCAAAUUUUAAAAACUCGCAAUCCGUGCAUCAAUGAGCC
rnacentral:lncRNA from 1 species